rnacentral:rRNA from 1 species
GACGAACGCUGGCGGCGUGCUUAACACAUGCAAGUCGAACGGAAAGGCCCUGCUUUUGUGGGGUGCUCGAGUGGCGAACGGGUGAGUAACACGUGAGUAACCUGCCCUUGACUUUGGGAUAACUUCAGGAAACUGGGGCUAAUACCGGAUAGGAGCUCCUGCUGCAUGGUGGGGGUUGGAAAGUUUCGGCGGUUGGGGAUGGACUCGCGGCUUAUCAGCUUGUUGGUGGGGUAGUGGCUUACCAAGGCUUUGACGGGUAGCCGGCCUGAGAGGGUGACCGGCCACAUUGGGACUGAGAUACGACCCAGACUCCUACUGGAGGCAGCAGUGCAGAAUAUUCCACAAUGGGCGGAAGCCUGAUGCAGCAACGCCGCGUGCGGGAUGACGGCCUUCGGGUUGUAAACCGCUUUCGCCUGUGACGAAGCGUGAGUGACGGUAAUGGGUAAAGAAGCACCGGCUAACUACGUG